rnacentral:rRNA from 1 species
ACACAUGCAAGUCGAACGAUGAAGCCCAGCUUGCUGGGUGGAUUAGUGGCGAACGGGUGAGUAACACGUGAGUAACCUGCCCUUAACUCUGGGAUAAGCCUGGGAAACUGGGUCUAAUACCGGAUAGGAGCGCCUACCGCAUGGUGGGUGUUGGAAAGAUUUAUCGGUUUUGGAUGGACUCGCGGCCUAUCAGCUUGUUGGUGAGGUAAUGGCUCACCAAGGCGACGACGGGUAGCCGGCCUGAGAGGGUGACCGGCCACACUGGGACUGAGACACGGCCCAGACUCCUACGGGAGGCAGCAGUGGGGAAUAUUGCACAAUGGGCGCAAGCCUGAUGCAGCGACGCCGCGUGAGGGAUGACGGCCUUCGGGUUGUAAACCUCUUUCAGUAGGGAAGAAGCGAAAGUGACGGUACCUGCAGAAGAAGCACCGGCUAACUACGUGCCAGCAGCCGCGGUAAUACGUAGGGUGCGAGCGUUAUCCGGAAUUAUUGGGCGUAAAGAGCUCGUAGGCGGUUUGUCGCGUCUGUCGUGAAAGUCCGGGGCUUAACCCCGGAUCUGCGGUGGGUACGGGCAGACUAGAGUGCAGUAGGGGAGACUGGAAUUCCUGGUGUAGCGGUGGAAUGCGCAGAUAUCAGGAGGAACACCGAUGGCGAAGGCAGGUCUCUGGACUGUAACUUAC